rnacentral:rRNA from 1 species
GAUGAACGCUGGCGGCGUGCUUAACACAUGCAAGUCGAACGGAAAGGCCCAAGCUUGCUUGGGUGCUCGAGUGGCGAACGGGUGAGUAACACGUGGGUGAUCUGCCCUGCACUUCGGGAUAAGCCUGGGAAACUGGGUCUAAUACCGGAUAGGACGUUGGUUUGGAUGCCAUUGUGGGGAGUUUUUUCGGGGUGGGGUGAGGUCGCGGCGUAUCAGCGUUUUGUGGGGGUGAUGUCGUAUCAAGGCGUCGUCGGGGGUACGGGCUGAGAGGGGGUACGGGCACAGUGGGACAGAGAUACGGCCCAGAGUCUUCUGGGGGGCAGCAAUGGGGGAUAUUGCACAAUAGGGGUGAGCCUGAUGUAGCGACGCGGCGUGGGGGAGAACGGCCCUCGGGUUGUGAACACCUCUCACUAGGGACGAGGAGUGUUUGUGACGGUAACUGGUGAAGAAGCACCGGCUAACUACGUG